CAGAAACUGAUGUAGAAGGCUCUUUGCUACUCAGAGAGGGAACAGUGUUUCUGCAUUUUUUAUUGUGUUCUUAUUUUCUGCCUUUAUCCAGAUUAAGGUACAUCUGCCCCUACUGUUAUGUUGCACCCAGUGGUCUUGCUGUGGAAAGAGGAGAGGAUUUUUGCUUUCCUCCUUGGGGAAUGCCUUAACCAUGAGAAGGUUAUGGAGCAGCAGGGCUACUGUUGAAGACUCUUUUCUUAUACUGACUACAAGAGGCUGGGAGAUGAAGAAAGUCCUGAAGAGAGGGCAUCUGUCAUCCAUUUUCUGGUGUUUGCUCCUGAAUAGACCUUUACCAUGUUCCAUUUCACACAGCACUGCAAACAAGAUAAUGAGUGAUUAAUGUACUCUGGUAACUCCAUGGGCACGCUGAGCGACACGCCAGCUGCUCCUGCUGAAGCCCAGGGGGGACCAGGUACCAGGGAAGCUGGAAGACCUUCUUGUCAAUCUUCUUGUCACUCGCCUAUUCCCACGACUGUAAUUGUUGAAGAUAUUAACCAUUUUUCAGACGUGGCUACUCGACACAAAGCUUUCAGGAAACCAAACCAGAAAUCUGCAGAGCUGGAAAGUUGAUAUUGGCUGAGAACAGCAGGUAUAGCAGUGAGAAAAUCUUCUUGAUAACCUGGGGCUGCUCCAGGACAGAAGGAAAGGUGCCUCCACUGCCAGGACUGCCCCAUCAGCCACACCACACCGGCCGUGAAAACAUGGCAGGCUCUUCUCCAAGGGUUAAAGUUUUAAGUCACAACUUUCACUGCAGUUUGCACUUAUGCCUAAUUAACUCAAAAUUAAUGGUCCAGCACCUAGUCCAACAGUUACGCUCAAUGGUGCAGAAAAAAAAUCUCUCUUUUAUGUUCGGGAUAAUACUUUUUUCCUAGAACAGUGUUGGUUAGUCUUGAAGACCAAAGAAUUGUAAGCAUAACUUCAGUGUAUACACUUAUUUUGCUUUUGUUUCUUGUGCAAUUGUUGAGCCUUUCCUAAGUAUUGGAAAAGCUAAUCCUUCAAUUUCCAUGUCUUUACAAGUUUCAUUUAAAAAAAUAAAUAAACAUUUUUUU
rnacentral:lncRNA from 1 species